rnacentral:rRNA from 1 species
GUGGGGAAUCUUGCGCAAUGGGCGAAAGCCUGACGCAGCGACGCCGCGUGGGGGAUGAAGGCCCUCGGGUUGUAAACCCCUUUCGGCAGGGACGAAGCGGUUCCGUGACGGUACCUGCAGAAGAAGCCUCGGCUAACUACGUGCCAGCAGCCGCGGUAAGACGUAGGAGGCGAGCGUUGUCCGGAUUCAUUGGGCGUAAAGAGCACGCAGGCGGUUUGGCAAGUCGGAUGUGAAAACCCGGAGCUCAACUCCGGGCCUGCAUCCGAAACUGCCCGACUAGAGGUAGGUAGGGGAGAUCGGAAUUCCUGGUGUAGCGGUGAAAUGCGCAGAUAUCAGGAGGAACACCGGUGGCGAAGGCGGAUCUCUGGGCCUUACCUGACGCUCAGGUGCGAAAGCUAGGGGAGCGAACAGGAUUAGAUACCCGGGUAGUCC